AUCAACUUUCGAUGGUAGGAUAGAGGCCUACCAUGGUGGUAACGGGUAACGGGGUGUUAGGGCACGACACCGGAGAGGGAGCCUGAGAAACGGCUACCACAUCCAAGGAUGGCAGCAGGCGCGCAAAUUACCCAAUCCCGACACGGGGAGGUAGUGACAAUAAAUAACAAUACGGGGUUCUUUCGGAUCUCGUAAUUGGAAUGAGUACAAUUUAAAUCUCUUAACGAGGAACAAUUGGAGGGCAAGUCUGGUGCCAGCAGCCGCGGUAAUUCCAGCUCCAAUAGCGUAUAUUAAAGUUGUUGCAGUUAAAAAGCUCGUAGUUGAAUUUCGGGGUUAGUAGGUUGGUCAUGCCUCUGGUAUGUACUGGUCUCACUGAUUCCUCCUUCCUGAUGAACCUUAAUGCCAUUAAUUUGGUGUUUUGGGGAAUUUGGACUGUUACUUUGAAAAAAUUAGAGUGUUUAAAGCAAGCUAACGCUUGAAUACAUUAGCAUGGAAUAAUGAAAUAGGACGUUCGAUCCUAUUUUGUUGGUUUCUAGGAUUGACGUAAUGAUUAAUAGGGAUAGUUGGGGGCAUUAGUAUUCAAUUGUCAGAGGUGAAAUUCUUGGAUUUAUUGAAGACUAACCACUGCGAAAGCAUUUGCCAAGGAUGUUUUCAUUAAUCAAGAACGAAAGUUAGGGGAUCGAAGACGAUCAGAUACCGUCGUAGUCUUAACCAUAAACUAUGCCGACUAGGGAUCGGAUGAUGUUAAUUUUUUAAUGACUCAUUCGGCGCCUUACGGGAAACCAAAGUGUUUGGGUUC
rnacentral:rRNA from 1 species